GCUACGGGAGGCAGCAGUGGGGAAUAUUGGACAAUGGGCGCAAGCCUGAUCCAGCCAUGCCGCGUGAGUGAGGAAGGCCUUCGGGUUGUAAAGACUCUUUCGGCGGGGACGAAAUGGCGUGGGUAACAUCCCGCGUCGAUGACGGUACCCGAAGAAGAAGGACCGGCUAACUACGUGCCAGCAGCCGCGGUC
rnacentral:rRNA from 1 species